CCGCUUCCUGUCGGCAUCCUGGGAGCCCCUCCAGCGAGAGAUGCUCUGUCAUCCUGCGCGAAGCCUGGUCCAAGGCGGGGGCCGGCGUUCAGAGGUCAGCCCGACUCCGGAGCAGAGUGCGCGACUGCGGUCUCCAGGUUUGCAAUCUACAGCCGUUUCUGAACUCAUCGCACCAUCUGUGUUUUUUGCAAGCAUCGCUUCUUAUGACUCAGACCUCAAUUCAGAAACCCAGAAACCAUGAGGAAUAUGAUUGAGGAAAGCAUACAGAGAUCUAAGGCCUAGUCUUCAAUCUCUCAGUAAUGUAAUGGUAAAUUUAGUGGUCUGGAACUAAACCUGCAGUGUCUCCGAGGUGUGCCUGUACUUACAUCCAACACCCUGAUCUUGACGUUCCUUGACGUCCUUCAACCAGCCCCUUCCCAAAGCCACAGUCAGGACCAUGUUGCCUCCUUGAGCUCGUCUGUGUGUUGAUUUGUAUAGAGAUAACGCUUAGAAUUUUAAUGUAUACCUAAGUUUUUAAAAGGGUAGUCCAUUUUUAAUUAGCAAAUUAAUCCAUUUUUGAUGUUCACAGUUAUAAGUUUGGAGAAAUUUUACCAGUAUAUUUAUU